UGAUUAACCAAAAUUAGAUUUUCAGUUCUUCAUCCAUACCAUUUCUCCACCCAUCCCAGCCACAUAUGAAGUACUAAUUUGACACAGGUGGCUAGUGGCUACCAUAUUAAACGUUGCACAUAUGGAACAUGCCUAUCACCACAGAGAGUCUGUUGGAAAAUACUUAUCUAGAUACUCAGGUCCUAACAUCAGUUUCCUUAUAGCUUGAAUUAUCUGCCUGUCUGUGUAGAUAUAGGCAAUGUGAAAUAGGUACAGCAUCUUUUAGAAAAUAUUGACUGAAUUUAUCAUCUUGCCUCAAAUUCCACACUUACAUAAACAAACAUUUGAGUGAAAAAUGUGAAUAUUCCAUGAAUACCCUCUCUUAAAUCAUCACCAAUCCAUUAUCAUGCCCUCUUUAUAAUCCUACUUAUUGUUAUAUAAAUAUGUAAUCUAUUGGUGAAAACAUAUCAGGCAUAUAAUAUUAAUUCUCUAUAGUCAAUGCCUGAUAUAACACAGCUUGCCCUGCAUGGCAUCUAUUAGUCCUUUCAGAGUUAUAAUGGAAUAACUUGCUUCUUAUUAUUUUCAGCAUUAUGCAGUGAAUGUUUUGACAAUGGGGACAAUAAAAUAAGAAACACAAAGAUGCUUAUCGGUGUGUAGGAGCUAAAUGCAAUUGCUUCUGAUCUUUAUCCUUUGCUAUUUUAUAAAGUAUAUUAAAGACUAAAAGAUGAGUACUUAGAAAAGAAACUGGAGUCAUCUGGGGAUCUGAUAUACAAUGAAAUGCAAAAUCCUAUCCUUUAGUAUUGCCAAGAGUUAAGACUUCAAAACUUUUGUGGUAAAAAAGUGCUCAGUUUCACUGAAUCACACCAACUUUACUGAAAAAGCCCAGCCCAUUUUUAUUUUUUCAAAGGUGAAAGGGUGUGCUUUUAACUUUAAAAAGCAAUACUUUCCUGUAAUUUGAAUAUCUAUUCUUUGUGUGCCUAGGAAAACAUGUUCAGAAGAUAAAUGAGCAAACACCUUGGUUAUUUUAAUUUUGAAAGAAAAAUGGCAGAUCUCUUCUAGUGAGCAUCGCAGUCAAAUCAGUCAUUUUCCUACCUGUAUUCCUUCCGUAUUAAAGAGCUCCAACUGAAAAUAAUAAAAUGUCAUAUUUAAGGAAGCAUCUAUUUUCACCUUUGUAGAUGGAAGUUCUUCUUAGCACUAACAGGUAUUCUGGAAAAAACAGCUUUGCAUUGCAAUCAAAGAACAUCAGCCAUAGGACAGACCAGACAAUAUUUCAAAGUUCCAUUUCAGUGUACCUCUUAGAUAAGGGGGCUUCUUACAAUUUUCAGCACCCUGUGUUGCAUUGUCUAAUUCGAGGUACUAUAGAAAAUCCAAAAAGUUGCUUUGUCAUUAUCAUGCCCACAUCUCUGGACUGGUUAAAAACAUAAAAACCAAAAAACUAAGCAUUUUAAAGCAGCUAUAGUAAUUUCAGUCUUGACUUGGAAAAAUCAAGAAAUUUAGGGUUGGGAGAGACAGUUAAUAUGCUCAAGACCAGUCCUUUUAAGAGAAAAGAAAACAUAGCCCUGGAGAACUUAAUAUUAACUAUGGAUGUAUAGAUCAAACCCUGAAUUAUGAGAGAUGAAAUCUGGAUGCAGGGCUCAGCUGUAGAAUUAAUCGUGGGAAUUUGGCUAAAUCAUGUUCAUUUUCCCUGGACCUCUGUUUCCUCUUCUCAUAAAAAAAAAAA
rnacentral:lncRNA from 1 species